rnacentral:rRNA from 1 species
UACAGAGGUCUCAAGCGUUGUUCGGAUUCAUUGGGCGUAAAGGGUGCGUAGGCGGCGCGGUAAGUCGGGUGUGAAAUCUUGGAGCUUAACUCCGAAACUGCAUUCGAUACUGCCGUGCUUGAGGACUGGAGAGGAGACUGGAAUCUACGGUGUAGCGGUGAAAUGCGUAGAUAUCAAGAGGAACACCAGUGGCGAAGGCGAGUCCCUGGACAACACCUGACACUGAGGCACGAAAGCUAGGGGAGCAAACAGG